rnacentral:rRNA from 1 species
AACGAACGCUGGCGGCGCGCUUAACACAUGCAAGUCGAACGGGGCGUCAUCCUUCGGGGUGGCGUUCAGUGGCGCACGGGUGAGUAACGCGUGGGAACCUGCCCCAAGGUCUGGGACAAC